GCCACUGUAGCUUAGCUCGGUAGAGCGGCUGGCUUGUAACCAGCAGGUCGGGGGUUCGAAUCCCUCCGGUGGCU
rnacentral:tRNA from 1 species